CAAUCAUGCUAAUGAAGUUUUAACUAAUUUUACCUACUUAGAUGUAUUAUGUUGAACCAUGUAGCUAUUCUGUCCAGUAAUAUGCUCAAAUGGCUCAAAAUAGCUGGGCUGUUCUUCUGGGGAAUUUUGAUUACUGUGCGGCAAUGCCAAGCCCAGGCCUACAGCAAGGUAAAUGUGUUACCACCUUCCCAGACAGAAGGUUGCUAAUCAUUUGAUAUUGUAUUAAAACCAGCUACUGCCCAUCUCAAGAAUAACAAAAGUGAUUCAUUUUUUUCCCCUUCACUUUAAUGCUUACGAGUGAUGUU